rnacentral:misc_RNA from 1 species
AAUUCUCAACUCCCCUCGGAUUCCAUCUGUAGGGUGAGCUUGGACUUGGAGGUUUCUGCUGGCGUUCGCCGGCUCCUCUUGAAAUCAUUAGCUUUGAGUUGAUCUCGAUGGCUUGACCGGUGUGAUAAACAUCUACGCCGAUUUGUACUGUCCUGGGCGACGAAUGUUGGAGACGCUCUGGCUUAUAACUGUCCUCACCAGAGGUCGAUGCCCUGAAC